rnacentral:rRNA from 1 species
UACGUAGGGUGCAAGCGUUGUCCGGAAUUAUUGGGCGUAAAGCGCGUGUAGGCGGCCAGGUAGGUCCGAUGUGAAAUCUGGAGGCUCAACCUCCAGCGGUCAUUGGAAACCAUCUGGCUAGAGUCCGGAAGAGGAGAGUGGAAUUCCUGGUGUAGCGGUGAAAUGCGCAGAUAUCAGGAAGAACACCAAUGGCGAAGGCAGCUCUCUGGGACGGUACUGACGCUGAGACGCGAAAGCGUGGGGAGCGAACAGG